rnacentral:rRNA from 1 species
AGUGAACGCUGGCGGUAGGCCUAACACAUGCAAGUCGAACGGCAACAUAGUAAGCGCUCGCCCUUAAGGGUGGCGAGUGGCGGACGGGUGAGGAAUACAUAGGCAUCUACUUUUUCGUGGGGGAUAACGUAGGGACACUUACGAUAAUACCGCAUAUGUCCUACGGCAUAAAUCAAUGGUUAUUCGGAGCUUGCCCGUUUCAAUUAGCUGAUGCCGGAUUACCUAGUUUGGGGGGUAAAGGCCCAACAAGGCGAGGCUACGGAGCUGGACUGAGAGGAGGAACAGGCCAAACGGAACUGGAACACGGGCCAGAAUCCUAAGGGAGGGAGGAGUGGGGAAUAUUGGAGAAUGGGCGGAAGCCUGAUCGAGGCAUACCGGGUGGGUGGAGAAGGCUCUCGGGUUGGAAAGCCCUUGUGAUGGGAAAGAAAAGCAGGAGGUUAAUACCCCGCUGGUCUGACGGUACCCAAAGAAUAAGCACCGGCUAACUUCGUG